rnacentral:rRNA from 1 species
GACGAACGCUGGCGGCGUGCUUAACACAUGCAAGUCGAACGGAAAGGCCCUGCUUUUGUGGGGUGCUCGAGUGGCGAACGGGUGAGUAACACGUGAGUAACCUGCCCUUGACUUUGGGAUAACUUCAGGAAACUGGGGCUAAUACCGGAUAGGAGCUCCUGCUGCAUGGUGGGCGUUGGAAAGUUUCGGCGGUUGGGGAUGGACUCGCGGCUUAUCAGCUUGUUGGUGGGGUAGUGGCUUACCAAGGCUUGGACGGGUAGCCGGCCUGGGAGGGUGACCGGCCACAUUGGGACUGAGAUACGGCCCAGACUCCUACGGGAGGCAGCAGUGGGGAAUAUUGCACAAUGGGCGGAAGCCUGAUGCAGCGGCGCCGCGUGCGGGAUGACGGCCUUCGGGUUGUGAACCGCUUUCGCCUGAAACGAAGCGUGAGUGACGGUAAUGGGUAAAGAAGCACCGGCUAACUACGUG